rnacentral:rRNA from 1 species
GCUGGCGGCGUGCCUAACACAUGCAAGUCGUGCGAGAAAGUUCCUUCGGGAGCGAGUAAAGCGGCGCACGGGUGAGUAACACGUAGGUAACCUGCCCCCCAGUCUGGAACAACUAGAGGAAACUCUAGCUAAUGCCGGAUGAGACCACGAUCCCUUCGGGGGUUGCGGCCAAGAUGGCCUCUACUUGUAAGCUAUCGCUGAGGGAUGGGCCUGCGGGCCAUUAGCUUGUUGGUGAGGUAACGGCUCACCAAGGCUGUGAUGGCUAGCUGGUCUGAGAGGAUGACCAGCCACACUGGGACUGAGACACGGCCCAGACUCCUACGGGAGGCAGCAGUGGGAAUAUUGCGCAAUGGGCGAAAGCCUGACGCAGCGACGCCGCGUGGGUGAUGAAGGCCUUCGGGUCGUAAAGCCCUGUCGCAGGGGAAGAAUAAGCAUCGGUAUAAUACGCCGGUGCCCUGACGGUACCCUGCAAGAAAGCACCGGCUAACUCCGUG